ACUACUGUUCGACAGUGACGACUUGACGCCAGAAAUGGUGAUGCAAAGCGCGACGGCGAGGCACGCGGAAAAUGUAGCAGCAACGACCCAAGUCCCCCACUGCACUGAAUCGGACAUCUUUGCCCAGAACGACCAAGUCGUGCGUUGUCUCCCUCCGCCCCAAAAUGUCUUCAAGCUUAACGUGGAUGCGGCGAUCUCACCUAGAGGCGACGGUGGAGCAGGUGCAGUGGUUAGAGACGAAGAAGGCCACAUUCUCAUGGCUGCCACUUGGAGACUCGAAGCCCCUGUUAGGGCUCUGAUGUUGGGCUCGGAGCUGGCUUCACAAACUUCACAGUCAAAGAUUGAAGAUGCAGCAUGGGUUCACUCAGAAUCCAGAUACAUUUGGCAAGGAAGAGGUCAAUAAAUUAGGCCAACUAGAGAGUCGAAGCUAUGGACAUGAGCAAAAGUAGUCAGGAAAAUGCCAUUCAAGAUUUUUUUUUUCAGAAGGCCGACAAGAGAACAGAUUCUAUUAUUAAGAGUAAAUUUAUCGAUAAGGAAAAGUGAGGCUCACAAAGUGGUACGUCCCAGACUCUCGAAAGAAAAGAUCCAAGUGGACAAUCAUGCAUGGAGAUUUGGAAUAUGACUGUAAUUUAAUGCAGAGGGUAUGCUUUUAAUUUCCUAGAAUUGACAAAGCACAUGGCUGUGGGAGCUAAUGAGGUGUUGGCUAAACUAUGGAAAUUGACAGUGAAAUGUUGUCAUAUAUGCAUAUGGAGCCUGGCCUUCACCAUUUUGAAAGGUACAACACAUCAUUCAAUGGAGAA